CUGUUCCCAGCACCGGAGUGGGAGGGAUGCUCCCAGCUGUACCCCGAGACAUUCCCAUAUGUGUGGUCCCAGUUGUCCUCAACCUCCAGCAUCACCCCCUCCUUCCCUCCCCAGCUCCCUGGUGGCUCUGCAGUGACUGGGAAAGGUCAGGGACCUGCAGGUGGCCUGGAACAGGAGGGACUGGACAGUGACAGGGAGAAGGUGCAGAGCCCCCAGGAGCAGCUGGAGCAGAGACACGGCCGUCACCUGCCCCAGCACCCCUGUCCCAGCUCGGGGCUGCCAGAGCCUGGGGGACACAUCCAGCUCCUGUCCUGACUGUGGCAGCGCCCUCUGAGGAGCUGGCAGCACCACCAUGUCCCAGGCAGGAGGAGCUGAGGAGGCCUUUGAACACUGUGAUGUGGUCAUCAACAGCCAGGACAAGGUUUCGGAUGUGUACACGCAGCUGGAGAAGCUGGGGGAGGGGAAAUUUGGGACAGUGUACAGGCUGCAGGAAAAGGCCACCGGCAAAAUCCGGGCCGGGAAAUAUUUCCGGACGCGCACAGCAAAGGAGAAGCAGACGGCUCAGGCUGAGGUGGAGCUGAUGAACCUCCUGCAUCACCCACGCCUCGUGCAGUGCCUCGACGCCUUCCAGGGCCCCACCGAGCUGGUGAUGGUGAUGGAGUACGUGGCAGGUGGGGAGCUCUUUGAGCGCAUUGUGGACGAUGACUUCGAGCACACGGAGCCCAGCAGUGCCCAGUACGUGCGGCAGAUCCUGGAGGGGCUGCGCUUCAUGCACGGCCAGGCCAUCGUCCACCUCGACCUCAAACCCGAGAACAUCGUCUGCGUCAGCCCCGACAGCCACUGGAUCAAGAUCAUCGAUUUUGGCUUGGCACGCAAGCUGGCUCCAGACACCCCCGUGAAGGUGUUGCACGGCACCCCUGAGUUCAUGGCUCCAGAAGUGGUCGCCUUUGAGCCCGUGAGCUUCUCCACGGACAUGUGGAGUGUUGGUGUCAUCUGCUACAUCCUGCUGAGCGGGGAGUCCCCCUUCCAGGGGGACACCGACAUGGAGACACUGAGCAAUGUCACAGCUGCCCAGUGGGACUUUGGGGAGGAGACCUUCUCGGAGAUCUCCCAGCAAGCCAAGGACUUCAUCAACCAACUGCUGCAGAAGGACCCCUGCCGGCGACUCCCCAGUGCAGAGGCUCUGCUGCACCCCUGGCUGCAGCACCCCCAGCCCAGCAGCCCCAAGGUGCUGUCAAAGGAGAGGAUCAGGCAGUUCCUGGCGCGUCGCAAGUGGCAGAAAACAGGGAAAGCCCUGCUGGCUCUCAAGAGGCUGACCCUGCUGUCCCAGAGCCUGGAGGGGAAGGUGUCAGAGGCUCAGGAUGAGGAAGAACCGAAUCCACCCACGCCGUGGAGGACACGUGUCUGAGAGCUCUGCCUGGGAGCCACUGAUGGGACACAGCUGAAGGGGAUGCCAACCCUCGGAGCUGCUGUGGAGCAGUGAUGACAAAUCUGUUUUGGGCAGUUUGCUGAAGCCCCUGGAAGCUGGUGGCCAUCACAGCAGGAGGAUCCACGGCAGGAUUUGGCAUCCUGCAGCCUCCAGAGAUGGGUCCAACCCUGGCUCUCCAGCAGCUGUGUGAGACAUCCUGACAGACCUCACCUGCUUCCUUUUCCUCCCAUGUUUGCAGCAGGAGCCGUGAAUUCCCUGCUCCAAGUUGGAGGAGAAACUCCUUAGAAACAAAUAAACAAACAAAAAUACUCCAUAUUCUGCCCACAGCGCUUCCCAUCCCAGAGUAGCAGAGGGAGGCUGAGGAACCCCUUUCCCACACAUCACAUCCCGGUUUUUACCCUCUAUCUAUCCCGUGUUUUCCUCGUUACACAGAUUCCAAACCCAUCCCUCGGGAACGGCGCUGAAUGUGCUCAAGCUGCAGAUGAUAAGCAAACACCAAGUUGCGUAUAAUCAAUCCCUUGAUGAGCUAUUUACCAUGUGACAUUACCAAAAUAUUUCUGCUUGGGAAAGAUGUUUAUCUUCCUCUGUUUUCCAAACUCCUCGUGGCCCUGAAAAUCCAAGUCCCAGGACUCCAGACAGGAAUUUUUUUUCUCUAAUCCUAUAUUUAUACUGUAAAAACCUGAUUUACCUACAGAAGAAACUUAUUUACUGACAGAAGACAUGUGUUCCUUCUCCUUCCACUGCUUCCCGUGGCUUAACACAUUAAACUCUGCAAUUCAGGAAGGAAUGGAGAGUGGAUUACACCUGGAACUCAUCACAGCCACUGAGAAAUUCAGCAGUGCUGAGAAUAGAAUUCUAAUCUCAGGAUCUCACAGGCAAAGGAAUUAAGAUCUUGUCCUUCCAUCAAGACACUCUUGGGUUGACCUUCACUUCAGCCACACAACCCCAGAGUAUGUCCUCAGAUCCUCAGGAAUCCUCCAUGGGGGCAGAAAGGAUGAGUGAUGUCCCCUGGGGAAUCUUGAGAAGUGGUUCCCACCUUCUCUCAGGUAUUUCAGGUGCCCCCAGGUCCAGCUCUUUGAGGAACAUGAAGUGGGAUCAGCUCUCCAAACACCCUCAAGUUUCUGGAGCUUUAUCCUUCAGUGCCAAGGGAUCAGAUAACCUCUGGCUGCACAGUCUAAAUCUGGGAGUGCCUGUUUGGAUGAGGGAGUAUUGCCUGGGUAGCUCGGACAUCAAGAAAUAGGACUUUUUUUUGUGGACCUGCAAAUUUAAGGGAAAAAAAAAAAUCCAUUCCUGCUUGAGUGUUUUCCAGAGAAUUUAAAUUAAUUAAGAAAACAAA